AUACGGUGAGUCAAGUACUUCUUACAUUUCAUGUUUUGAGACCAUAUUUUUUAUAAGUGAGUUAGUAUGCUUUGUUGAUUCAAAACUCAGAUACGGAGAUUUUUCUAAGUGAGUUAGUAUCCUCGGAAUUUAUUUUGUUUGAUUCAAAGACAUUUUGUAAGCAAACGGUUAUUGGUUUAUAUAUUUGGUAAAAAAGUUUACUGAAGAAUAUCCUAGAUUGUAUUGGUUAUUUGAUAAACUAUGUUGCCUAUUGCCAAUAGCUACUGCGUGUGAAGGAAAUAUCCGUACUUGCUCUUUGUUUAUCCAAGAACAUUCUCUCUUAUCAUUCCAUGUUUCUCUGUAAUUAAUCUCUAUAUAUGUUAGAUUUGUUCUCGGAUCGCUCAUGUUUUUUUUGGUUAUUUACUUUUUGUCCAUUAUUUUGAUAAGUAUCUCGGUUAUUCUGUUUUGUUUGCAGAUUGUCCCGGCUUGAUUUCCAUUUGGAUUUUGUACAGUAUAUAAGUUGACGAGCGUUGUGAGAGGACUUCUUUAGAUUCUCUGCACCAACGAGUACCAAAAGAGCAAACCACAAAUCAUUGGUCUGAGAAAUAUACGGUAUUUUCAUCGGGGCGCGAGAAGAGAUAGGGAAGCGUUGCCAUUUUCAGAUUAAGAAACUUUUAACUUGCGGCUCCGACGAAGGCGAUAGAGAGAUAAUUUGCGAGGUUAAUCGAGUGGAGAGCUUCUGUCAAUUCCGAGAUGACUACGAGGCGUAGACGGCCAGGGAAAGAGCAUGUGGGCGAGGAGGAUAAUCCCGGCGGGCGCGGUUCUAGAUCUAUUCAAAACUCCCAUUAGGGUUUUAAUUUGUAGAUUAGGGUUUCAUUUAGGGGUGUGGUUCUAGAUUUCCAAGUUCUCUAAGUUUUUUUCUGGUUUUUGUUUGUUUUACAGAGAUGGCGCAAACUGAAGAGGGAGUAAAAGGUCAAAGCUUGUUGCUAGUUUUUGUGUUUUGACAAAAUUGUGGUCGGAUGUACACCAACACGUGUGUACAUAUGAACAACCAGGAUUUUGUACAUGUGUACACGCGUGUAUAUGUACAUAAUAAGUAAUGUUGAUAUGAGUAUUCUUAUUGAUAAGUUGGCAUGUAUAUGUUGUGUUUGUUGGUGUAGGAGCCGGUGCAUAUGAACAAUAUCCAUGUGUACACCGAUGUAAUGAUAUUCACAUGUACACAAAAAUGUAAACUUUCCAAGAAUAUAGCAAUACCAAUCUACUCCAUUGCAAAUUCAAUUUUAUUUUUUAUUCGAAUACUUUAUACAUUGAGAACCAUUUAAAACAUUAUUAUAAACUGGAUCACAUAUUUCAUUGAUGGGGUGGAUUUAUAUUGUUUAAACCAAUCAUCUGUAUAGUGAGUGAAAUAAGUGUACACAAGGGAAUGUGCACAUAUGGACAUUAGAAAGAGUGUGUACACAUGAGAACAAUAUCCACGUGUAUACCUAAAUACAAUAUCCACAUGUACAUGAUAUCCAUAUGUACACACAAUUAACAUAAAAAAACAUAAUAUCCAUAUGUACGCAAUCAUCAUAACUAGUUCAGUUCAUGUAAUGUUGUCUUGACUCAGUUCGAAAUGACCGUAGAAGUACAAGACAGAUCCAUGGUGGAUAAGCAUGACCGGCGGUGUGGAGAUUCCGGUUACAAGUUCCUUUGUGUUAGGCGGCCAAUAACUCAAAACCACCGGAGGUGCCGCAGCCGUGACGGUGAAGAACUCGUUGACGACGUUGUUUUGUAAUUCAAGCAAGGACAUAUCUGGGAAAACGAGAAUAAUUCGUGACAUGAUUUCCUUGUCCAUCGCGAAAUUCCAACGAGAGUCACCGGAACUCCAUUCGCCAGCAAUGAAUCGAGAGAGAUGGUUGAAGGUUGGGAUUUUUGGAUUUAUGAGGACAAAAAAAUCAGCCGAUAAAGAUGAUGAUGUGUUAAAAAAGAUAAGAUGAAUCUGGACCAUUCAUGUUAAAGUUACAAUAGUAGAUCCAAUGGUCAUAAAAUAAGACAAAUACAAAUUUUGUUAAAGUGUAUUAUAAUUAAUACUAGGGGGUGUCCGCGCUUCGCGCGGAAUAUUGUUUUAUUAUCGUUAAAAGUAUGAUUUGUUGGAUAAUGUAAUUAUGUGAUCACUUUUAUUUGUUAAGAAUGUUAUUUGGUGUUUUUAUUGUGUUAUGUAGUAGUAAUAGUGAUAUGUUAAUAUAUUUUGUCUUUGUUUUUUUCAUAAUGUGUUUUGUCUGUAUAGUAUUUGUUAGCAGUGAAGUGAGCCUCUAAUAUAAAAAUAUAUUGUAUUUCAAUAACUUUGCAUUUAUGCAUUUGUUGAUUCUAAGAUUUACGGUUUCAGCGUCAAAAUUUUCUUUUAAUUUUUUUUAUAUUUUUGAACAUUAUAACUUUCAAGAUGUUUUCGUUUUUUUCCCAUAUUUUUACAUUGAGCCUUCAACAUCUAUGUAUUUUCUUUACAUUGCUGGUAUGCGGUAUUUCUCAUCAUCACCAAAAAAGACUCACCUCAUGCUCUUGUUCUUUAUCGCCUUCUUCACCUUGAGAUUUCUGGUAUUUAUUGUAGAUCGGGUUUAGGAGUUCCCAGUUGUGCGGUUGUUUCUCGCAUCAUUUUAGGCUACUCCAUGCAAUAUUGGAUGCUCCUCUUCUUCCUUAGAUUUUAGCUGAUGUUAGGAACUGCAUCUCUUUGGGUUGGGUCAGAGUUUAGUCGUCUUUGAAGUUGUUUUCCUCGUCGUUGGCUUACCAUUGUUACUCCCCUCUCGUCCUGGUUUUCAAGAUAUGGUUUUUGGUGAUCUGACUUCUAUAGCUUGAGGACGGCUCCACGAUUUGAUGAUUUCGUUUUGUCUACCCUUCCAGCUAUGUUCUUUCAUCUCGUUGCAGCUUUCAACCCUGCUUGCGUCUCUGUGACUCUCUCUCUUUUUCGCCAUGUUUGCCACUCUAGGUUUGGAUAGUGUUCUCCUCCGAGUAUGCUCUGUAGAUUUGGAAGAUUGUUUCUGGUCUCAAGUCUGGACUCAUGUUUCUCGGGGGUUGGCUUCAUUUCUCCUUCACUCAUGUUGUUCUCUUCUUCCCUUAGUAUAAAUGUGUGAUAUUAGACUCUUGGAGCUUUGGUCCCUUCUAUCCAGAAUUUUGUGGUUUUUCCCCGGCAUAGGCAUCUUGUUUGUGCUUGUUUAGUUUGUGAGAUGCUUCUUACCUCUUAGCUGGUGGUUGUGCUUAUCGUUUGUUAUGUAUGUCUCUUCCUGCUUCGUGGUGAUUUUGGCCUUUUGUUGAUUAUUCUCACUCUAACCCGCUUUCUUGGUUCUUUGCAUUGGUCCUUGAUCACGGUCAUUUGUGUUCGAGGGAUUGCUUUAUCUGAAGAUUAUAUUUCUACAUUUUACUGACUUUUGAUUGUUCUGGCCAAGAUACUCUAUGAUAAAGUGGGAUAAGUUAGUUUUCGUUCUUGAUCGCCUUUGAGCUCUGGACCUUUAUUGAGUUAGUGUUUCUUUGGCAUUUUUUUUCUCUGGAAUUAUGGUGGUUUUAUGUUUAAAUUAUGUGUUCUCCUUUAGUUUGGUUAAUAUUAAGAUAAAUAUAUAGUUGUAAAUGAAAUAAUAGAAAAUAGUAAAAAAUAAUAAAAUAACGAAAGUUUAUGUUAUUUUUAGCUGCGAAUAAAUUAAAUAUUUAAAGUACAUUUAUAUUUUUUACUUAUUUCUUUAUUCGUUUUGCAAUUUUUUGAACAAUAAAAUAGAUUAAAAUAUAUUAGCAAAAUUCAAAUGAUGAUGGUUAGUGUGAGAAGAAUUAGAUAAUGUAUAAUUAGAAAAUAGUGAAUCAAAUUGCAAUAAUCUAAAAGAAAAAAGAUCUAAAAUGUAAAAAGACAAAAAGAUGACACAUGGCAGCAAACCCCCCUGCCACUUGUCGGAAGAAGGGAAAAAGUCUACUUUAUAUAUAAAGAUUGUCUGUCGGAUAGGAGAGGAGAUGUGUGGCUGAGGUUAAUUUCCGCUUAUUCUCUAGUUAGGUCAAUAAAUUUUAGACGGUUAGUGUAUUUUAGUUAGGAUUCAAUAGGUUGUUGGAAGAAAGUUUGUGUAACAAUAAGUGACCUAUUAUGAUAUAAAAGAUAGAAAGUGACUCUCAGUGUAAUUGUUUCAAGAAAAUAAAACAUAUAAGGAACAAUAAAAAUACAAUUGAUGAAAUACAAUUGGUGUUUACAAAGAUCGAUUAAGUGGACCCCCUUAAGAUCCUCUAGGCCAGAGUAAAAUAACGUUAAGAAAGGAUACGUCUUCACGAACUCACCAUAAUUCUAAACAUUUUUGUAAAUUUCACUAAUUGCUUAGACAGAACAACUUAAAAAUAAGAUUCUUUUUGACCAUCAAUAAACAGUAUUUUGUGAUUAGAAACUAUAAAAAUAUACCAAACAGGCAACAUAAAAAUCUUAGAUAAUUAAGAUAAAACUACUUAAAUUCACUGCAAACAAAACUUACAUAAGAUUGAUUAAGAAGUUCAUUACGAAAAUAAAACACACAGAUAAACUACCAUAUAAGAUUACCUAAGAAAUUCAUUACGCAAAACGACACCCACACAUUAGCUAAAAUACUACCGAAAAUUCUGAUUGGUUAAGCGCAUUGUCCCCGUCCUCGCCUCAGGCCACCGUCACCGUCUUUCUUAUCCGCCUCUCUGGCUUUUCUCUCCUCUUCGAUCUUUCUCUUCUCUUCCUCAUCUUUCUCUUUGGCAAUUUUCUCAGCUUCCUCUCGAUCCCUUCUCUCUUCCUCUUUUUUGGCUCGGUUCUCUUCAUAGCAAGUGGAGUAGCGAAGAUGCAAGGCUAGCAACACUAGAUACCCACCUAGCAUGACCAGAAAUUGUCCCAAAGGAGAUCGAUAUAAAUGGGUUGCAGUACCAAAGAACAAAGUAAAAACCCCAUCGAGUAACCCGAAGUCUUCUAGCAUGUAGAAAAACUUUGAGAGCAAAACCAGAUGGAGGAAAAUGAGGACAAGCCCAAGAACAAGGAAAUAAGAGACAUCUCCUAGGAGUAUUAUGAAACCCAAAACAAAGGUCUGGAGAACAGUUUUCCCAAGUCCAUAAAGGUUUCUAAAACGUUUGGAUCUAGGAUACUCAUCUCGAUUGAGAAGCAAAUUCCACAAAAGGAGAUGCAUGUAGAGAAUGAAACCAACGCAUGAAACCAUGAACUUCAAACCGACUUGAGGAGAUGUACGUAGAACGGAAAUUAGAAUAGAGACAAAAGCUCCAAUAGCGAAUGAAGUUGUAAAACCCGCGAGGUUGUUUCUCUCUGACAAGAACUCUGAAGAUUUAAGAGAUAUCCUAUCUAGCUUUCUCUCACAAAACUCUAUCAGAAACCAUCAGUCUCGAGAAACUUGGGGAAGCUAUCCUAGAAACCAUCAUUAAAAGACAACUCGAAAACUUGGAGAUGAUAUAGUGGGAAAGGUCUCGAGUCGGUCUACAUAGGAUUAGUAUGAAAGCCCUAGGUAUAAUGAUAAUAAAGCAAGUAUUGGUGUGGGUCCCAAUGCGUUCUGCCCUUUAUUGUACAACGAUUUUGAAAAAGUUAUAUAUACACGUGUUAUUGCAAUUAAAAAGGUUAUAAUUAUUUUGAGCAUAGAAGUUUUACCUGGAUCCAAAAAUCCAAUUUGAACCGGUUUAAAAAUAUCUGACAUGGAAUCAAAACAAAAGUUUACAAACAACUAACAACUGGUUGGAUUUAAAAUUUUUCUAUCCGAAAAGAAUCGAUCCGAAUAGAUUUGGACCGACUAGAUCUGAACUGAUAAAAACCGAUUUAUCCGGCCUAAAAAUAUGAAUUUCCAAGACUACGGUUCCAUGCGUUCUAUUUUCUAUAUUUUAAUUUAUGAUUUAGUUGAAAUGUCUUUUUGUUUGUAUUUUUUCAUUAUUAUUUUGUAAAAUUUAAAGUAAUAUGAGACUUUAAAUAUCAAAUUUAAAAAUAUUUUAAUUGAAUUAUUAAUAGCUUAUUUUUGAUUAUUUUGUAAUUUUUAAAGAAAUAUGACGGUUACGAUUGAAUUAUUAAUGGUUUGUUACGAUUGAAUUUUGAUGAGGUUCAAAUGCUUUGAGUAUUUGUCGGGCGUAAAUACUCAGACCGACGUGAAUACGUUUCGUAUUAUAUUGAGAUGAUUACAUAAAGCAACAGAUACAGGGAUGAUACCAAAAGAGAAAUGUAUGUUUUUCUUUUGUUUAUAGGGAAAAAAAGAACGUGUAUUUGAUAGAUCCAAUACGUAUAUACGUAUAGGGAAAAAAAGAACGUGUAUUUGCAUUCAUGCACUGUGUGUGAGGGUAACGGAUAUAUAGUAUUUUGUCUUUACAUAAAUUGAUUUCAUGGUCAAGAAAGGACAGUAGUAACACACUUAUAUUACGAUCAUAACCUUGAAAUAUACUUAACCAAAUCAACAACAUACGUUACCAUAUUUUCACUUUCUUAUUGAAAAAAAUAAACCGUCUACAUUAGUAAAUGUGCAUAUAUGUAAAUCAUUUACCAAACUAAUAAUUAUAUUGAAUUUUUCUGUUUGUUUCUCUUGGGUUCGACUACUAUUCGAAACAAUUUUUA